rnacentral:rRNA from 1 species
UUUAAUUGAAGAGUUUGAUCAUGGCUCAGAUUGAACGCUGGCGGCAGGCCUAACACAUGCAAGUCGAGCGGUA